rnacentral:lncRNA from 1 species
AUUGAAGUUUUGUUCCUUAUAAAUUUGGUAUAAUUACUUCAAAUUGUGACCCUGUGCUCUUCAUUGCUAUACCCAGUUGAAGAUUCUCAGUAACUACAAUGGGCCUGUUGGUUUUUGUUUGCCUGUCCCUCUUUAAACGUGUUCGAUCAGAGAAGGCUCGGUCACCUAAGUCAAAAUGUCCUUAAUUUAUUCUCAUCAAGUGUCGCC